AUGCCCUAUAUAAAGCAGUGGCACCCGGCUCUGUUCUUCCCCACAACACACACAGCCAGCACCUGCAGCUGCGUCCCACUGCAAAUCCUCCAACUCCACUUCCUUCUCGUGGCGUCUCUUUCCGGCCGGCAUCCCCUAGCCCAGCCUACCUCGCUCCAAUUACACCAGCCGUCACCUCCACCGUGUCUCCAUUUCGCCAUGGCUAACUCAAUGCUCGACUCGCCGCCGCAGCUCCCUGCCGCCGGCCCUUGGGGCUCUCUGUUCGCCGUCCAGGAACCCGCGAAGCCUCGGCGUGUGUCGGUGGCGCUACCGUUCGCUCCCAAGAAGAUGCCGGCGUACCGGUACGGCAUGAAGCGGAACCUGGAGAUGUGCACCGAGGCGCUCGGGUGCGAGACCGGUGGCGUCGACCCAGCCGCUGACGACGCCGACGAGGGCGUGGAGCGCAAGAGGAAAUACAGGGAGGAGGAGGAGGAGGAGACCAAGGUGGAGCGGACGGAGCGGAGGGCGCGCGUGCUGCCACCGCCGCUGACGACGCUGGCGGCUGGCGCGACCCGCAUGCGCAUGGUCCACGAGCGACGCGGCGGGCGGCUAGAGGUGUACGCCGUGCGGGCCUCCGGAAUGGAGGCCGAGCGGAGCGGCGGCCGUCUUCGGCUCCGCCUCAUGCCCUGCGCCGGCUGCAAUGCCGCCGCCGUGUGCAGCAGCCAACAAGAACCGCAAGAAGCAGAGGAAGAUGAGACAGAGGAGGUUGAUCAGCAGCGGCAGCAGCAGUGCGUGGUCCCCAAGUACGUGCGCCGCGAGCGGUGCCUGAAGGUGGAGAGUGGCGCCACGGCGGCGAGGUGCAGCAUCAAAUGGGAGCAGGAGCAGGCUGCCGCGUUCUGGGUGGCAACCACCUGA
rnacentral:rRNA from 1 species